rnacentral:rRNA from 1 species
CUACGGGUUGCUGCAGUGGGGAAUAUUGCACAAUGGGCGCAAGCCUGAUGCAGCCAUGCCGCGUGUAUGAAGAAGGCCUUCGGGUUGUAAAGUACUUUCAGCGGGGAGGAAGGGAGUAAAGUUAAUACCUUUGCUCAUUGACGUUACCCGCAGAAGAAGCACCGGCUAACUCCGUGCCAGCAGCCGCGGUAAUACGGAGGGUGCAAGCGUUAAUCGGAAUUACUGGGCGUAAAGCGCACGCAGGCGGUUUGUUAAGUCAGAUGUGAAAUCCCCGGGCUCAACCUGGGAACUGUAUCUGAUACUGGCAAGCUUGAGUCUCGUAGAGGGGGGUAGAAUUCCAGGUGUAGCGGUGAGAUGCGUAGAGAUCUGGAGGAAUACCGGUGGCGAAGGCGGCCCCCUGGACGAAGACUGACGCUCAGGUGCGAAAGCGUGGGGAGCAAACAGGAUUAGAUACCCCAGUAGUC